rnacentral:snRNA from 1 species
GAAUGUAAGGGCAAUCUGGCUGCUACUUCUGUCACCCAUUGAUCACCAGAGUUGAUUGGGCUGGUCUGGCUGACUAGGUGGUUGUCCCCUUUCUCCCUUACCACUCCAUGUGUGUCCCUCCUGAAGCUAUGUGCAUGAGCAAAGUGAAUGACCAUCCCCUCUAGAGGAGGCCCGCUCUUAGGUCAAGUGUAUAAGAAUAGCUGCGCUCCCCUGCUAGAACCCCCAAACAAAAAGUGAAUUACUAUACUAGCCACCAUAUCAUCUGUGUAAGUUAUGACAGGCACAUUUCAGUUGAGUCUCAGGAAAAAAGCAAAAGGGGAAAUCCAUCUAUAGAAGGCGUUCCCCAUCU